rnacentral:rRNA from 1 species
UAUAUCAGUCAUGCAUAGCAUAUCAAUAAGCGGAGGAAAAGAAACUAACAAGGAUUCCCUUAGUAACGGCGAGUGAAGCGGGAAGAGCUCAAAUUUGAAAUCUUCAAGGUUUUACCUUGACGAAUUGUAGUUUAAAGAAGUGUUUUCUGUUGAAGUUUUGGUAAAAGUUCUUUGGAAUAGGACAUCAUAGAGGGUGAGAAUCCCGUAUUUGACCAUUACUUUCAGCUUUGUGAUACACUUUCAAAGAGUCGGAUUGUUUGGGAAUGCAGUCCAAAAUGGGUGGUAAAUUUCAUCUAAAGCUAAAUAUUGGCGAGAGACCGAUAGCGAACAAGUACCGUGAGGGAAAGAUGAAAAGAACUUUGAAAAGAGAGUUAAACAGUACGUGAAAUUGUCAAAAGGGAAGCGUUUGACACCAGUGUUGUUUUCUCGAAAAUCAAUUAAAAAGAGUUGGAUUUUGUGUUGUAUUGACUUUAUCGGCUUUCUUCACUCUUUUCCAGCUUUUUUUAAUGCACUUUUCGUUUAACAAGUCAACAUCAGUUUCUUUUGUUGUAAAAAGGUCAUUGGAAGGUGGCUUUCUCUUCGGAGAAAGUGUUUAUAGCCUUUGACUCAUGCAAUCGGAGAGACUGAGGUCUGCAGCGUAGAUCCUUCGGGGUUAGAUACAUUUGUGCUAAGUUAUAGCUUUUCAUAGACAACUUGUUGACUAUGUUUAGUCUUGUAGCUUACUCGCUUAUGCUAUUUUACCUACGCUUAGGAUGUUGAACUCUAUCACACACAG